GGGCGGGUGGCGGAAUGGUAGACGCGCAACGUUGAGGUCGUUGUGGGAUUUCCCGUGAAGGUUCAACUCCUUUCCCGCCCA
rnacentral:tRNA from 5 species